GUUUCAGUUUGACAAAGAGAUUAAAUCUUGGGUGUUGAUGUCGAUUGGUAAAAAAUAGAGGGAUUGGAAGUGCGAACUGAAGAAAUUCCACUACUAGCCUCAUGAUAAUGAUGAGGCGCGGCUAGCAGACCUCAAUGAGCAUGUCCAUAUGGAUCAGUGGAAGGCCCUCAUUGAGUUUUGAAACUCUGAAGAGGGAAAGGCUCGUAAUAAGAUAAAUAUGGAAAAUUGGAGAAAACAACGCAUCGGCCACACUGCAGGCAUGAAGAGCUUUGCGCGAAUACGUGAUGAAGAGAGAAAGAAGAGGGCCAAUGAGGAGGAUUUGACCUAAGUAGAUAUGUUCUUGUUGACACAUAUACGCAAGAAUGGGAUGCCUGUGGAUGAGGCCUCAACAAGAGCAAUGGUUUGUAUAUGUAUCUUCUUAUUUUGUUUAAUCUUUUAGCAAUAUAAAAUCUAAAUUGGUGAUUUUUAAUUGUAAGAACAAUUAAA